GGAAGUAAAAGCCGUAACAAGGUUUCCGUAGGUGAACCUGCGGAAGGAUCAUUAACAAAUCCGGUGUACUGUUUCAUGUGCAUUUAUUGUGCAUGCUUCAGUGACACACAAGUUCCAUGUGCACGUUCACUCUGCACAUGACAUUUCUGUUUAUUGUCUGAUUGUGAUUGGUGUUGAAAUGGUAAUGACUUUUAACAAUGGAUCUCUAGGCUCUC
rnacentral:misc_RNA from 1 species